AGUAGUAAAGUUUUGGAACCAAUCCGCUCCUACUGAAUUACUACUUUUCGAAGUACCGCAAAAAAAUAGUGAUCAAAACUUUAUAAAUAAAAAAGAGAGGAUAGUGAAGGCGUGACCUUUACAAAUACGAAGGCCUUAUAAAUCCUCUUCAGAAAGUUAUUCCUUAUGAAUUCAAAGACCUUUCGCAUUUGUUUAGGGCUCAUACGCACGGCUCUGCCACCUCGGAAGUUUGAGGAUGUUAUCAAAAUUCGAGUACAUUGGCUACGCUCUUCUUGACAUUUCUGUUACUGCUCGACCCUACUUGUCCAAUAAAAAUAAAUGGAUGACGCUAGGUGUCCUAUCAAAAUGCGAAGAAAAAAUUGUCUCUAAUGGAUUUUUGGCGCGCUUGUGUUUGUUUCAUGAGUUUUACAAGGCAUUCAACAUUGCUCUCUUGAUACGAGCCGAAGCAUCACUACUUUUAUGAACCAAUGCCAUGAGACCGCCAAGUCCGAAAAUGGAGAGAUUCUGACCUCCAUUGCCCACCCGAAAGUUUUGGGAGACAUAGUAGAGUCCAUUAUCGGGGCGGUCUAUGCGGAUUCUCUGUGUGAUUCCAGGAAAAGUAUGAAAGUCAUUGAGACACUAGUACCUUGCCCGUACUAGUAGCGAAUAAUGAAUAAUCAUAAUAGUAACUUA